AACGAACGCUGGCGGCGUGCCUAACACAUGCAAGUCGAGCGGGAAAGUUCCCUUCGGGGAGCGAGUACAGCGGCGAACGGGUGAGUAACACGUAGGUAACCUACCCUGGAGAUCGGGAUAACCUGCCGAAAGGCGGGCUAAUACCGGAUAAGACCACGAGGGCUGCGGCCCUUGAGGAAAAAGAUGGCCUCUGCUUGCAAGCUAUCACUCUGGGAUGGGCCUGCGCGCCAUUAGCUAGUUGGUGAGGUAACGGCUCACCAAGGCUGAGAUGGCUAGCUGGUCCGAGAGGAUGGCCAGCCACACUGGGACUGAGACACGGCCCAGACUCCUACGGAGGCAGCAGUGGGGAAUAUUGCGCAAUGGG
rnacentral:rRNA from 1 species